UACAGAGGGGGCAAGCGUUGUUCGGAAUUACUGGGCGUAAAGGGCGCGUAGGCGGCCUUCUAAGUCGAACGUGAAAUCCCCGGGCUCAACCCGGGAACUGCGUCCGAUACUGGAAGGCUUGAAUCCGGGAGAGGGAUGCGGGAAUUCCGAGGUGUAGCGGUGAAAUGCGUAGGAUAUCUGGAGGAACACCGGUGGCGAAGGCGGCGAGAUCC
rnacentral:rRNA from 1 species